UUAACACUUUGAUUGGUUGGAUGAAAGUUUGUUCACCCGUAAUGGGAUGUCCUCAGAUCUUUGUUUAGCGAUAGCAAGAACUAUAAUCUGAUUUUAAUAAGAUUUGAAAGACUAUAAAUAGAUACUUAUUGAAUAUAGUUCUAGUUUUGACUUUGUUAUAUGUUUUCACUGCAGCAAGGAGGAAAAAGGGACACGACCAUUCCAGAUAAAGUCAUGGAAUGUUGGAUCAUUAGGGAUUCCACCAAAGAAACCCUGAGAUGUGAUUAUGUUAACGGAAAUGGAAGUGAACACCAAAGAAAGAAGAUUCUGGCAAUCAAUAAUUUCAAAAAGUGUAUAAAUUUUCAAUUAUCUAAAAAUAUAAAAAUGUCAACACAAA